rnacentral:lncRNA from 13 species
CUAUGCAACAUUUUAAAACACUUCUUCUGUUUCUGGAAUACAGCUGACAAAACAACAGCUUGCCGGCUUGUGUCUGAGGAUUGUCCAGUUUUUAUCGGACAAGCUGAUGCAGAUCAUCAUCCCAGGUCUUUACGAACUACUGGGCAUCCAAGAUGCUGCCUCCUCUCCAUUGUCACAGAGAUCUCUCACAGCGUCACUCACCAGUCUGUUAGACGAUAAGGUUAACACCAAGUCCCGCGUGAGAUUUACUGAGGCUGGUGUACCUAAGAGGCCAGGCAGUCGAAAGUCUUACAAUAGCUUUCGCAUCCCGACUCCCUACCCUUCCUCCAACUGUAUGGAUCAGGAAGAGGAAGAAGAGCAGGAAUCACAACAACCUAAGUUCAAGGAGAUGUACCUGACUAAGGAGAUGGGCAGUCUGGGCAGUGGAAGCUACUGCCCAAAACCAUUGCCCAAGCCAGCCAUGAGAACCUCUCUGUCUGAUGUGCAGAAGAAGACAACCAACUCUGACUCGCUACAAGUCCUCUUAGGUGUCUCAGAGGACACCCUCGUCACCUGUGUGCAGGACAGCCUGCAAGGUUCUCUCUCCAAACUUGCAUGCAUGUCCAAUUCUCCAUCUGGAAGUGCAGGCUCUCCGAAGAUGACCCCUGCUGUAAUGACAGAAGUGAUUAAAGAUGUCAAGUCGGCCGUAUCAGUGGUCGUUAAGAGUGCCUCCGCUAGCCAAACCUCUCAAGUGACACCGGGUUCCAAGAAAGUUAGAAAGGACCACUGUCCUCAAAAGUCUAUGGAGUACCAGCCUCAGAACACUUCCCCUACUGUGUACCUUAUAGAGUCGAGGACAAAUUCUCAUGGCUCCUUUGCUCCAGAGGGAAAUGACAUCGCAUAUUCCUUCCCACCUGAAGAGAAGAGUCGCAAACCCUCCCUUUUCACCAGAAUGUAUAGAGCCAUCACUAGAAGCCUCUCCAACCCAAGAUAAUUUUCCUCAUUAAAUGAGAUUGCAUUCAUUUGUUGUCAUAUGUUGACUGUUUUGCUAGCACAGACUGUAAUAUGUUCUGCGAUUCAUCCACAUGCAUUGAGGAGUAUACCACCUCAGUCACAGGCUACAUCAAUAAGUGGAUCGACAACGUC